CGAUGAGAGAAACAUUUUUAUAAUUUUGUUUGAUAAUUGCAACAACUUAUAAGAAAGUGCUACAAGAUGGAGAUAGUUCUGUUAAAAAUGAACAUGACUGUGAUUGAAACAAAUGAUACUGUAACUUUACAAAAAUAAUAGGGGCUCAAGCAGUGUAUUCGAAUUAGUGACAUACAUGCAACAAUGCCCAGCGAAGGAAUUGUCUAUAGAUCGGGGAAAAAGAAUCUCCAAAGGAAAUCUUCGAAACUAUCGUUGGCACAGCAAAUUGCACAGAAAAGAGCUAGUGGUUUACAUGUAAGUAUAAUUUUCAGAUUUGGUAAUUAGUUAAACUAUACAUGAACUAAGCAAUAAAAACAAGUCAUCUAGAGAUACAAUAAAAAAAUAAAAUUGAAUUAUCAAGUCUUGAAACAAAUGCAGAUAUGGUACUGUUUGUUAGUCUUUAUAAUGUCACUAGUCUAGUCUAGUACUCCCUUGAAAAAACGGAUACUGUGUUUUUAUUGAAAACAGC
rnacentral:lncRNA from 1 species